GUUAUCAUAGUAGAUUUCGUA
ensembl:piRNA 21ur-142 ncRNA